AUGGACAAAACGUCAGGAAUGCUUACACUUGUGGACGAAGGGAGUAUUAUACCUGGCCUAACCUUUUUUUGUCCAAUUUUGCAAAAACUUGUCGGAAAGAUAGGAUUGCAUCAGGGGUCAGCUUUGAGCCCUUAUCUUUUUGCCUUGGUGAUGGAUGAGGUCACAAGGGAUAUACAGGGAGAUAUCCCAUGGUGUAUGCUCUUUGCGGAUGAUGUGGUGCUAGUUGAUGAUAGUCGGACGGGGGUAAAUAGGAAGUUAGAGUUAUGGAGACAAACCUUGGAAUCGAAAGGGUUUAGGCUUAGUAGAACUAAAACCGAAUACAUGAUGUGCGGUUUCAGUACUACUAGGUGUGAGGAGGAGGAGGUUAGCCUUGAUGGGCAGGUGGUACCUCAGAAGGACACCUUUCGAUAUUUGGGGUGA
rnacentral:rRNA from 1 species